rnacentral:rRNA from 1 species
AAACCCGUAGUCAGCCAUGCCGCGUGUGUGAAGAAGGCCUUCGGGUUGUAAAGCACUUUCAGUUGUGAGGAAAGGUUGGUAGUUAAUACCUGCCAGCUGUGACGUUAACAACAGAAGAAGCACCGGCUAACUCCGUGCCAGCAGCCGCGGUAAUACGGAGGGUGCGAGCGUUAAUCGGAAUUACUGGGCGUAAAGCGCACGCAGGCGGUUUGUUAAGCUAGAUGUGAAAGCCCCGGGCUC